UAUGCAGGAGGGAAUUAGUGUAUGAUGUUGUUGUGUGUAUGCAGGAGGGAAUUCAUGUUGUUGCGUGUUGCUGUACUGAAUUCAUGUUGUUGCGUGUUGCUGUACUGCGUGUAUGCAGGAGGGAAUUCUUGUAUGAUGUUGUUGUGUGUAUGCAGGCCCUCUUGUAUGAUAUUGUUGUAUGAUGUUGUGUGUAUGCAGGCCCUCUUGUAUGAUGUUGCUGUGUCGCAGGAGGGAAUUCUUGUAUGAUGUUGCUGUUCGUGUAUGAUAUUCUGUGAUAGUUUUUAUCCAUCCGCUAGAAGUACUAGUGGAUGACGUUAUUUUCAAUUGGUCAGCAGUGCUAAUAGGGGGCGGAAAAAUUACUUAAUACGUCCGCUAGUAUGUCUAGCGGACGGGAUUUCUCUCAAUAAUAUCACAACCAUUCAUUAAUUAGACGGAUGGUAUAGAUGUUAUAUGCCAUUUUUUAUUUUGCGUGUAUGCAGGAGGGAAUUCUUGUAUGAUGUUGCUGUGUGUAUGCAGGCCCUCUUGUAUGAUGUUG
rnacentral:lncRNA from 1 species